rnacentral:sRNA from 1 species
UAGAAGGCCAAGAGACUGAAGUCCUGCAUUUUUUCACAGAACAGGUAGAACAUGGACAGCAGCAAUUCAACUUUUCCCCACACUGCCCUGCCAAUGUGCUUGGACCCUGACCUGGGGGGGCCUCCGAUGGGGUGAGAGGGUGGCUCAAUCAUUCAGUCCUUGGCCAUUCUUCUGAAACUACC